rnacentral:rRNA from 1 species
CAAAAACAUAGCCAAUAGAAAAAAUUAUUGUUGGUGAUGCCUGCUCAAUGAUUAAAUAAUAACCAAUAAAAACAAUUAAAUAGCUGCGGUAACACCUGACCGUACAAAGGUAGCAUAAUAAAUCGCCUACUAAUUAUAGGAUAGAAUGAAGGUAAAACGAAAAUCCAACUGUCUCAAGAUUAUAAAAUUUAAAAUAGAAUGUGUGUGCAAAUCCACACCAAGACGGCAAGACGAUAAGACCCUAGGAACUUUACUGAAAACUUAAUUAAACAAACAAUAAGUCGUAAGUUUCGUUGGGGCAACGAUCUUUAAAAAAGUAACUAAGAUUAAAUAAUCACGAACCACAAUUUCAUUCAAAUAUAUAAGAUAAGACCCAUUAAAAAAAAAAAUUAAUGAUAACAUAAUAAAAGUUCCCUAGGGAUAACAGCGUUAUAUCGUUUCAAGAGAACCAUCC